rnacentral:rRNA from 1 species
AUUGAACGCUGGCGGCAUGCCUUACACAUGCAAGUCGAACGGCAGCACGGGUGCUUGCACCUGGUGGCGAGUGGCGCACGGGUGAGUAAUACAUCGGGACAUGUCCUGUAGUGGGGGAUAGCCCGGCGAAAGCCGGAUUAAUACCGCAUACGAUCUACGGAUGACAGCGGGGGACCUUCGGGCCUCGCGCAUUAGGGUUGGCAGAUGGCUGAUUAGCUAGUGGGAGGGGUAAAGGCCUACCAAGGCGACGCUCAGUAGCUGGUCUGAGAGGACGACCAGCAAAACGGGGACGGAGACACGGCCCAGACUCCUACGGGAGGCAGCAGUGGGGAAUUUUGGACAAGGGGCGAAAGCCGGAUCCAGCAAGGCCGCGUGUGGGAAGAAGGCCUUCGGGUUGUAAAGCACUUUUGUCCGGAAAGAAAUCCUUGGCCCUAAUACGGUCGGGGGAUGACGGUACCGGAAGAAUAAGCACCGGCUAACUACGUG